rnacentral:rRNA from 1 species
GCCAGACUCCUACGGGAGGCAGCAGUGAGGAAUAUUGGUCAAUGGCCGGAAGGCUGAACCAGCCAAGCCGCGUGAAGGACGAAGGUGCCAAGCAUUGUAAACUUCUUUUGUCAAGGGACAAAAUCAGGCUCGAGAGCCUGACCGAGGGUACUUGAAGAAAAAGCAUCGGCUAACUCCGUGCCAGCAGCCGCGGUAAUACGGAGGAUGCGAGCGUUAUCCGGAUUUAUUGGGUUUAAAGGGUGCGUAGGCGGACUGUUAAGUCAGCGGUAAAAGCCCGGGCCCCACCCCCGGCGAGCCGUUGAAGCUGGCUGUCUUGAGAUGUCGAGAGGUAUGCGGAAUGCGCAGUGUAGCGGUGAAAUGCUUAGAGAUCAUACAGAACACCGAUUGCGAAGGCAGCUUACCAAACUACGACUGACGUUGAGGCACGAAAGCGUGGGGAGCAAACAGGAUUAGAUACCCGCGUAA